CAUAAAAAGAGGGGGGAGAGAGAGAGAGAGGAAGUCACCCCAGGUUCCCUCUGUUCUCCUUGCGUCGACCGAUCUCUUGGGCUUCCCCGCAUCCGAUCUCGUCCAUCAUGUCCUCGUUUUGGUUUUCCAUAGCUGACUAUGGUCCUCGAGAUUUUUUUUUUUUUGAGCACAUCAGGAGACAGCUCAACCACUGCCCAAGUUUGGAGAGUGGGAUGUCAAUAAUCCUGCCUCAGCUGAAGGGUACACUGUUAUAUUCAACAAGGCCCGAGAUGAAAAAAAGACAGGUGGUAACUCAGGCACACCCACAGCAACACCGAAAA